rnacentral:rRNA from 1 species
GUGGAUUAGAUACCCCGGUAGUCCACGCCCUAAACGAUGCGAACUGGAUGUUGGGCUCAACUCGGAGCUCAGUGUCGAAGCUAACGCGUUAAGUUCGCCGCCUGGGGAGUACGGUCGCAAGACUGAAACUCAAAGGAAUUGACGGGGGCCCGCACAAGCGGUGGAGUAUGUGGUUUAAUUCGAUGCAACGCGCAGAACCUUACCUGGUCUUGACAUGUCGCGAACCCUGCAGAGAUGCGGGGGUGCCUUCGGGAACGCGAACACAGGUGCUGCACGGCCGUCGACAGCU